ACCUACCGCAGCAAUUUCAGCAGUGGCCCCGGCUUCCCAGAGUAUGGCUACCCUGCAGACACCGUCUGGCCUGCCAUGGAGCAAGUGCCUCAUGUCUGUGCCAGGUUUGGUCCUGGCGGUCAGCUUAUCAAAGUGAUUCCUAAUCUGCCGUCAGAAGGACAGCCGGCCUUGGUGGAGGUCCACAGCAUGGAGGCCUUGCUGCAGCACACGUCCGAGCAGGAGGAGAUGCGGGCGUUCCCAGGACCCCUGGCCAAGUAUGUUCCUUGUUGAGGCAUUUCUUUAUAAGCCCAGCCUUGCAGACAUCACUGCUCACUGUGUGUUCUUUCUGCAGAGACGACACCCAUAAAACCGUGGUAGGGACCGACAUUGCGGAGCUUCUGUUACGAGACCACAGAACAGUGUGGCUUCCUGGGAAGUCGCCCAAUGAAGCAAACCUGAUUGAUUUCACGAAUGAGGCAGUGGAGCAGGUGGAAGAGGAGGAGUCUGGUGAGGCCCAGCUCUCUUUCCUCACUGGUGGUCCGACGGCUGCCGCCAGCU
rnacentral:sRNA from 1 species